UUUUUGCACUUGGCAAAAACAUCCCAGGGGCCGAACUGGACCCUUUGGCGUGCCACAUUUGGUCCCCGGGCCGCAUGUUUGACACCCCUGCUCUAAAGUUUCCUACAGAGGUAAUAAUUCAAACAGCUGAUAUCGUAAAACCAUUACAUUAAAAGGGCCAAGUUGAAGUUCAUGCUGAAAAGUAAAUCAAACCUUCACAGUGUCAUUCCAGUCUUAAUAUAAACAUGGCAGCUCUUUGUGAUAAUAAUUCUCUUACAAAAUUGUACAUUUAAGGUGAAACACAAAGCACUUGCCUUUUGUAAAAUCAGUCUUCUGUCAGUCGAGACUUUAAAAACUUUAAAAACCUCUUUAAAAGUGUAAUUUUGACCCUGCAUUUCAUGACUAAUGUCAACAGUUUUUUUACUUGAAUUGAUGGUUGUUUGGUUUUAAUGUGAAAAUCCGAAUGAAUGUUCAUGAUAGGUUUGUACACUGGGAGAAGAUCCAAAGUGAGAAUGUAAAUCAGAAAACUACUUGUAAAACUACGUUCAGUGAAAUGAACCAGACCUGUGAAAGCUGUGAGGCGCUGUCCAGAAGAUAUCUUUUCCUUUUAAUUUCUUUUCAAACCUCCCAAUAGUUUCAAUCCCAGGAAAAGCCCCUUACUCACUUUUGGACGGUAGUUUUUCUACAGUACUCUGACAAUAAGAGUUUGUCUCGCGCUGUAAAACUGCAUGUGAGAAGCAGUCUGUGAAUUGUUUGUGGGUUAGAAUACUAUGUCUUGCUGCUGCUGCUGUUUUUAGACAUUUCUGAAGCUCGUGUAGAAAGUUGUUCUUUAUGUCAAUAAACGAUGAAAUGUGUUAUGGGGGCGGGAUCUGAUGUCGACUGCACAUGAGACAUCAGCUCUUCCCAUAACAGAAUAUCA